rnacentral:rRNA from 1 species
AUGUGUGUGCCGAAGGAGAAGGGUGGAAUGGGUUUAAGAGAUAUACACAGUUUUAACAUGGCCCUGUUAGCUGAGCAGGUUUGGAGGCUUAUUGAGAAUUACGAUUCUCUUUGCGCCAAAGUCCUCAGAUCGAGAUAUUAUUCAAAUGGAGAUAUACUCAACUGUGAGCUAAAUAAGGGCUCUUCAUUCGUAUGGCAAAGCAUUUGGGCGGGGAUCCAAGUUUUUAAGAAGGGUCAUAUUUGGAGAGUGGGGGGCGGAACAAAAACAAACAUUUGGGAAGAUUGUUGGAUCCCCAAUAGUGCCUCAAGGAAAAUCCUUACUGUGCGUGGAGGUCAGAUGCUCUCGAAAGUAUGUGAGUUGAUUGAUCCACACUCGGGAGAAUGGGAUGAAUAGUUAAUCCGAGAUAACUUCUGGCAUAUAGAUGCGGAACGUAUUCUCCAAGUUCCCCUAUAUCAGCAAGUUACAGAAGACUUUGUUGUGUGGCAUCUUAGCAAGAAUGCUCAGUUUUCAGUUUGCUCAGCUUAUCAUAAACUAUGGGAAGAUACUUAUAUUAAGGAAGAUGAGAGGAAUACAUAUCAGAGUGGCUCAAACCCACACCCAGUUUGGAAGAGAAUAUGGCAACUGAAACUACCAACAAAGAUUAAGAUAUUCAUCUGGAAAUGCUUACACAAUGCAAUCCCGUGUUACAAUGUUCUCGCAAACCGUCAUAUAGGCAGUAAGUCACACUGCCCACAUUGCACAGAAGGAGCAGAAGAUGUUCGUCAUGCAUCGUUCGCUUGCAGCAGAGUUAGAGAAGUCUGGGCUGCGUUGGGACUUGAAUUCUUGGCUUCAGGAGCUAGUACCAAUCAAAUUUGUGUAGGUACACUUGAGUUUCUUCUUUGUGAUGAUGAACACCAGGUACAUGGAUGGAAUUUACCUGCCCGAAGUUGUAGCGGCAACCUGUUGGUAUCUAUGGUGGCAACGCAGACAGUUUGUUCGCGGAGAAACAAUCCAAAAUCCUCAGCGGACGGUGAUGGCGAUCCAAGCUGUAACCAUGAACUUCGUCCGUGCUACUGGGAAAAUGGGGAGCUCUCGUAA